AAUCAACAAAAAAUAUUCAGAUUAUCAGAUCAAAGAUUCGAGUCACUUUAGACUCGUUACUUUUAGACCAAUCAUGUGACUCCAAAUGGCGUUCGUCGUGCGAGGAAAAGUCAGCGUGGUCAUGCUAUCAUGUGACGCUGCCUACAUAAAACACACUGACUGUUGGGCCGUUGAAUGGGGGAGGACAGUUUCCACGUGCUCUUCGCUUCAUGGUGGUUGUCAAGGUCCCUGUAGUGCUUGUCUGCAACUUUUCAAAGGGCAAUCCAAACCUUGAGUGUCCGCAGUGCUCUGCCAUAGAGGUCAGCGCUUGUUUCCCUGGAAUCACACAUAAAGGCUUUCUUUAUUUACACCAGUAAAGAGCUCUAACAGCCAAACGUUUGACCUCAGUUGAACAGCUCCGGGUAAACAAGUCAUCGCAAAUGUCCCCUCCCUCAGUUCCAAACAGCUUGCAUCCCAUCAGCGCGCAUGUUUUGCCAGGACAGAUGACAGGAAAACAGUCUCAGCUCAUGUUCAUAAUAAGCCUCACUUGUGGAUUUCCAGAGGCCCAUGACUGAAGGUCGCAGCUCUAGUUUUUGAUCAGCGGAGGACCAGCGGAAAUUAUUAACAUGCUACUUCAUAAUAACAUAUCACAUAACAUUACAUAAAAAUCUGUUUUUCUGUAUUGUUUAAAUGUCGUAACAUAUGACAAUAAAUGGAAUUUUAAAAA
rnacentral:lncRNA from 1 species